GUAUCUGUAGUGUUAUCUUGUAGGCGUGGCGGUAUCUGUAGUGUUAUUGUAGGCGCGGCGGUAUCUGUACUGUUAUCUGUAGUGUUAUCUGUAGUGUUAUCUGUAGGCGCGGGCGGUAUCUGUAGUGUUAUCUGUAGUGUUAUCUGUAGUGUUAUCUGUAGGCGCGGCGGUAUCUGUAGUGUUUAUCUGUAGGCGCGGCGGUAUCUGUAGUGUUAUCUGUAGUGUUAUCUGUAGGCGCGGCGGUAUCUGUAGUGUUAUCUGUAGUGUUAUCUGUACUGUUAUCUGUAGGCGCGGCGGUAUCUGUAGUGUUAUCUGUAGGCGUGGCGGUAUCUGUAGUGUUAUCUGUAGACAAGGCGGUAUCUGUAGUGUUAUCUGUAGGCGUGGCGGUAUCUGUAGUGUUAUCUGUAGGCGCGGCGGUAUGUUAGUCUCCCCACUAACCACCUCCUAAGUGCUUCUAAUAUCACCUCUUCAGUACUCUUUCAAUCUCCUCUUCGUUUUCCUCCUCCUCUCUUUCCUCUCUUCACAGUGACUUUCA